UUUCUUUGAUUCGCGAUGAAAGGCAUUAGAUGAGGGAAAACGCAUGGAAUAAGAGUUUUAUCGCAUUUAAAUAUGCAUUGUAUAACGUCUUAUUGUUUUAUAACAAUGUGUAUUUGCUGUGCGUGGCUAAACCGCUCUCAGGGGGGCACUUCCGUCGACGCCCGAUGCAGAGCUGACCAGGAUGGGUUUGCUUUUUAACAGGGAAACGGCGAAAGUAAGUGUUUUAUCUAAUUUACAAUAUGUAUGUUAUAAUAUAUUGAUUUAUAGCGAUAUUUAAAUGCUUUGUUCGCUUAAACGAGCCGAAUAUUUUCUCUAAGGCGACUAUCUUCUUUGACUCAAUAUACUGAGCUGACGACGAGGGAGGUUUGCUUGUAUCUUUAAAACACAAAGUAAGUUAAGUGUUUUUAAUCUAACGUUAAUCUACAAAAUGUAUUUCAUGGCAUUAUAUUGUUUUGUAACGAUAUUUAUGUGAUGUGCGUGCUUAAACCUUUCUCACAGACUACGUUAGGCCUGCAUCUUCGACUCGUGACACAGUGCUGACAUGGAGUGCUUUUAGCAGUAAAAACAAAUAGUUAAUGUUUUAACUCAUUACAAUACGCGUUUUAUAUUGUUUAUGACAAUAUUUGUGAUGUGCAAAUAUUAAAAGUAUGUAUUUAUCCUCAAACUAUCUUUUACUCAUGUUUACUAGCACACCUACUGAAAAAUAGAAGAACAACUCCACAGACUGCAGAUCAACAAUGCACGUGAAAUUGUCGCUUUAUUUCCUUUUUUGGAGGACCAAUUUUCUUAGAAUGGGAGCAUUUCUAUGAUGCACCGAGGGGCUAAGGCUAACCAGGCUUGGUGUUUAAAGACUGUACAGACUAGAACUUGGUGAUGCCACAAGAAAGGAACACAGAUUCUUCCGGCGGCUGACUAUUAGGGAGAUUUCUUAAGGUGGGUG